ACGAACGCUGGCGGCGUGCUUAACACAUGCAAGUCGAACGGUGAAGCGCCUUCCUUUUUGGUGGGUGUGGAUGAGUGGCGAACGGGUGAGUAACACGUGAGUAACCUGCCCCCUUCUUCUGGAUAACCGCAUGAAAGUGUGGCUAAUACGGGAUAUUCUGGGUCUGUCGCAUGAUGGGUCUGGGAAAGAUAUUGUUUCGGUGGGGGAUGGGCUCGCGGCCUAUCAGCUUGUUGGUGGGGUGAUGGCCUACCAAGGCGGUGACGGGUAGCCGGCCUGAGAGGGUGGACGGUCACACUGGGACGGAGACACGGCGCAGACUCCUACGGGAGGCAGCAGGGGGGAAUAUUGCACAAUGGGCGCAAGCCUGAUGCAGCGACGCCGCGUGAGGGAUGGAGGCCUGCGGGUUGUGAACCUCUUUCGCCAGUGAAGCAGGCCUGCCUCGUUUGUGGGUGGGUUGACGGUAGCUGGAGAAGAAGCGCCGGCUAACUACGUG
rnacentral:rRNA from 1 species